UUUCAUUGAGCAGCACGCUCAACGACACGGAAGGAUAAAAAUAGGAACGGUUAUCUUUUGGAAGCGUACUCGACCAGUCGUUCCGCGCCGUAGCAUUCAGAAAGAUCAUGUUGUCGUAGCUCAAAUCUAAUAAACCGUAAGCGCUGUAAAUAUUCUUUUUAUAAGUGAAGUCGUAACAAGGUAGCCGUAA
rnacentral:rRNA from 1 species